rnacentral:pre_miRNA from 1 species
ACUACGUGUCCAACGUUUGACCGUCCGUCUUAUUUGAAAAAAAUAUAAAAAAUUAAAAAGACAAGUCACACAUAAAAUAUUAAUCAUGUUUUAUCAUCUAACAACAAUAAAAAUACGAAUUAUAAAAAAAUUUCAUAUAAGACGGACAGUCAAAGUUGGACACGGAAAUCCAGAGUUUGUCUUUUU